rnacentral:rRNA from 1 species
AUUGAACGCUGGCGGCAGGCCUAACACAUGCAAGUCGAACGGUAACAGGAAGACGCUUGCUUCUUUGCUGACGAGUGGCGGACGGGUUAGUAAUGUCUGGGAAACUGCCUGAUGGAGGGGGAUAACUACUGGAAACGGUAGCUAAUACCGCAUAACGUCGCAAGACCAAAGAGGGGGACCUUCGGGCCUCUUGCCAUCGGAUGUGCCCAGAUGGGAUUAGCUAGUAGGUGGGGUAACGGCUCACCUAGGCGACGAUCCCUAGCUGGUCUGAGAGGAUGACCAGCCACACUGGAACUGAGACACGGUCCAGACUCCUACGGGAGGCAGCAGUGGGGAAUAUUGCACAAUGGGCGCAAGCCUGAUGCAGCCAUGCCGCGUGUAUGAAGAAGGCCUUCGGGUUGUAAAGUACUUUCAGCGGGGAGGAAGGGAGUAAAGUUAAUACCUUUGCUCAUUGACGUUACCCGCAGAAGAAGCACCGGCUAACUCCGUG